GGUUUGAGUAAAAAGAGUGACGAAUGGAGAACUAGGGUGCACUAAAGAGGACGGAGCCCCCCGAAAUGGCGGAGGAGAGACUUUGAAGCCCUAAUGUCCUGCGCGGCAACGCAGCGGGGGGGCCAGGGGAGCGAAACAUCCCAGUACCGGGCCCCCCACCCCUCCCCACCCCAUAGUGGGUGUUUAGGGGGGGGCACAGAAAAAAUCAAACGAGAUUCCGCAAGUGGCGGCGAGCGAAAGCGGACGGGCCCUUUCCCGUAGGCCCCCCGGCCUCGGCCGGGGGGCGGGGGUCGCCCACCCAGGGGCGGGCGAGUAGUGAUGGGAAGAUGGGUGGCCACACAUCCAAGGCUUAAUAACUAGUGUCACACCGAAAGAGGGGAGUACUGUGAAGGAAAGUUGAAAGAGACUUGAAAAGACCUUGAAAUGAGUCACUUAAAGCAGUUGUAACACAACGUACCUUUUGUAUAAUGGGUCCACGAGAUAAAAUUUGGCAAACUUAAAGUGCAAUCUCGCAGCCACCCCGCAGGGGAUGGCUGGGGGGGAUUGUUCUUGGCCCCUAAGGUGUAGUGAAAGCAAGGGGGGGGGAUACCCCCACCCCUCAGUCAAAUUUCCCGAAACCAAGUGAUCUAGCCAUGGGCAGUUUUUAGGAACGAACCGGUGGUUGUUGCAAAAACCUCGGAUGACCUGUGGUUAGGGGCGAAACGCCAAUCGAACUUGGAGAUAGCUGGUUUUCUGCGAAAACUAUUGAAGUAGUGCGUCCACAAUUCAAGGGACCGCCGGGGGCCGACGGCCCCCGGCGGUUGCAAGUUGGAUAAGUCGAAUCAAGAUUGGCAUUAUCCGAUGAGAAUGGCUUGGAAUGCGGUAAAGCCCGACCCCCCGAAGCCGGGGGAUUAACUAUGAAGAAAAAAAGCCAGAGUGGGACAGACAGACUGUGGGCGAUAAGGUCGACGGUCUAAAGGGGAGAAGCCCUAACCAGAAGUUAAAGUCAUUAAUAAAAAGGGCGGGGGGUCUUUAACCCCCCCCCGAUUUAGUGUAAAAGAGAUAUUGAGUUUAGACAAUGGAGAAGUAGGCUUGGAGCCAGCCACCUUUGAGAGAUGACGUAGCAGUUCACUCAAGAAAUUCUUUUAUCUCUAAAAUUAUGGUGGCUAAAGUUGAACUGAAACUCUGGGGGCGAAAUAACAAGGUGGCGGUUGCGAGGCCUUCUUCGAAGACUUGAACCCCCGCUCUUCGUUAUGUUUGUCCGGUAGCAGAACGUACUGUUAAUUGUUCAGUGAGAGCCCCACACGGCAUCAGAAGUGAUAAUGUGGACAUGAGUAAAAAAUCAUAGGAUCACUCCCCCCCUGGUUUCCCAUAUUAGUUAUGGGGUUAAACAGCCCCUAAAAUUGCAGCCCCAAAGGUUGCGUUAAUGGGGGGCCAUGAGUAAUAGACGCACAAAGUGCCAGGAAAGAAUUAUUCAAGAGCCAAAGGGGCGGCGAAUCAAAGACGCCGCCCCUCUUGCCCAAUGGGCAUCGGUAAAUCGAAGGUGGUAACCAUCUCCCAUAGAUGCUUUGCCAUCUUUCGGCGCCGCACUGUACUAAACUAACUAAAGUGGGGGAUAGUGAGGGGAUAAAUUUCCUUAAGGAACUCGGCAAAAUCCCAAUGGCCCACCAGGGCAUAUAUUGGAACACGGGCCUCGACUGUUUACCAAAAACAUAGCCCUCGGCCAAUAUGAAAAUAGAAGUAUGGAGGGUGAGGCCUGCCCAAUGGUUGUAUCUAAAAGCGGUUGAUAAAAGUCGACCUCGUAAGGACAAUUGAAUGGCCGCGGUAACACUGACCGUGAUAAUGUAGCGUAAUCAAUAGCCAAUUAAUUGUUGGCCAGUAUGAAUGGCGCCACGAAGGCCCCACUGUCUUAAGGAAAUUCCCAGUGAAAUUGAAUUCGUAGUGAAGAUGCUACGUCCAAUUUGUUAGACGAAAAGACCCCGUUGAGCUUUACUGGGGCACUUACACGGCCCCGGCCUCUAAGAGGCCGAAUUUAAAUGGGCGGCUUAGACUAUGUGGCAGCCCCCCCGUCGGGGCAGAUGAAACACCACUCCCCCAUGUCAAAGGGGCUAACCCCCCCCCUUGGGGGGGGGGGACAAUGUAAGUAGGACAGUUUGGUUGGGGCGACCGCCUUUUAGAGAGUAACGAAGGUGCGCUUAAGGUGCGUAAUUAAUGACUGAAGCCUGACUGCGAGGGGGACACCCCGAGCAGACACCCCCAAGCCCGCCUGCCCUAGCUGCCUUUUGGAUCAGCUAGGCCGGGCGGCGGUGGGGGUGGGCCAUAGUGACCCGUUAAUUUAGAGUGGAAUAGUUAACGAUCAACGAAUAAAAGUUACCACGGGGAUAACAGCGUAAUAUCGUUAGAGAGUUCACAUCGACGACGAUGUUUGCGACCUCGAUGUUGAAUUGCGGCAUCCUGGGGUGCAGCCGCUCCCAAGGGUUGGUCUGUUCGUCCAUUAAAGCCGUACAUGAUUUGAGUUAAAAGCGUGGUAACACAGCUUGGUUUCUAUCUACAAAUUGAAGAAACAUCGAUAUAACUAUCUUCUAGUACGAAAGGACCGAAGGAUUAGUGAUCCUCUUAUUUGGUAUAAGUUACGAUCAACCCAUUGACCUCAACCCCUCCCCCUCCCGGGGGGGGCGAGGGGUCUUUCAGCUAAUCACUGACCGCUUCUAAAGUGGGAAAGUCAUAUCGAAAUGUUUGGGCCCAUUAUAGGGGGGCUAAAACCCCUCCAUCACUAUGGAGGCCAGCAUAGCUGGGAUAA
rnacentral:rRNA from 1 species